rnacentral:misc_RNA from 1 species
AACGCAUAUUGCACUCUUUGGUAUUCCGAAGAGUAUGCUUGUUUCAGUAUCAUGAAAAUCUCACAAUUUUCAGUUUCUUAGUUGAAAAUAUGUGGACUUGGAUUUGCGACUUACCCGAGUUGCUGAUCUGAAAUAGAUUUCAUGAAGCUCAAAUGCUUUUAAUCUUUGCUUAAUAGUUUUGCUUUGUCAAAUCUUUUGCAUUGAUUUUAAAAGCGAAAAAGUGAAUUGAUUUUACGAAAAAUUAAUAUCAUUUUUUGAUCUGAAAUCAAGUAGGACUACCCGCUGAACUUAA